rnacentral:rRNA from 1 species
GAUGAACGCUGGCGGCGUGUCUAAUACAUGCAAGUCGAGCGAACAGAUGAGGAGCUUGCUCCUCUGACGUUAGCGGCGGACGGGUGAGUAACACGUGGAUAACCUACCUAUAAGACUGGGAUAACUUCGGGAAACCGGAGCUAAUACCGGAUAAUAUAUUGAACCGCAUGGUUCAAUAGUGAAAGACGGUUUUGCUGUCACUUAUAGAUGGAUCCGCGCCGCAUUAGCUAGUUGGUAAGGUAACGGCUUACCAAGGCAACGAUGCGUAGCCGACCUGAGAGGGUGAUCGGCCACACUGGAACUGAGACACGGUCCAGGCUCCUACGGGAGGCAGCAGUAGGGAAUCUUCCGCAAUGGGCGAAAGCCUGACGGAGCAACGCCGCGUGAGUGAUGAAGGUCUUCGGAUCGUAAAACUCUGUUAUUAGGGAAGAACAAAUGUGUAAGUAACUAUGCACGUCUUGACGGUACCUAAUCAGAAAGCCACGGCUAACUACGUG